rnacentral:rRNA from 1 species
UGCAAGUCGAACGAUGAUGCUGGUGCUUGCACUGGUGGAUUAGUGGCGAACGGGUGAGUAACACGUGAGUAACCUGCCCCUGACUUCGGGAUAAGCCCGGGAAACUGGGUCUAAUACCGGAUAUGACUUCCUGCUGCAUGGCAGGGGGUGGAAAGAUUUAUCGGUUGGGGAUGGACUCGCGGCCUAUCAGCUUGUUGGUGAGGUAAUGGCUCACCAAGGCGACGACGGGUAGCCGGCCUGAGAGGGUGACCGGCCACACUGGGACUGAGACACGGCCCAGACUCCUACGGGAGGCAGCAGUGGGGAAUAUUGCACAAUGGGCGAAAGCCUGAUGCAGCGACGCCCCGUGAGGGAUGACGGCCUUCGGGUUGUAAACCUCUUUCAGUAGGGAAGAAGCCCCUUUUUGGGGGUGACGGUCCUUGCAA